rnacentral:rRNA from 1 species
GACGAACGCUGGCGGCGUGCCUAAUACAUGCAAGUUGAGCGAUGAAGAUUGGUGCUUGCACCAAUUUGAAGAGCAGCGAACGGGUGAGUAACGCGUGGGGAAUCUGCCUUUGAGCGGGGGACAACAUUUGGAAACGAAUGCUAAUACCGCAUAACAACUUUAAACAUAAGUUUUAAGUUUGAAAGAUGCAAUUGCAUCACUCAAAGAUGAUCCCGCGUUGUAUUAGCUAGUUGGUGAGGUAAAGGCUCACCAAGGCGAUGAUACAUAGCCGACCUGAGAGGGUGAUCGGCCACAUUGGGACUGAGACACGGCCCAAACUCAUACGGGAGGCAGCAGUAGGGAAUCUUCGGCAAUGGACGAAAGUCUGACCGAGCAACGCCGCGUGAGUGAAGAAGGUUUUCGGAUCGUAAAACUCGGUUGGUAGAGAAGAACGUUGGUGAGAGUGGAAAGCUCAUCAAGUGACGGUAACUACCCAGAAAGGGACGGCUAACUACGUG